AUCUUUUACUUUGAGUGAUGGAGCUACAUUUUCAUUUUCAGGAGUCCCAGGCACCUGGGAAGGUUAUCUAUCGCUGAAGAUUCCUAGUGAUCUUGUGCCAGAGACGCUCCUCUGCAGACACACUAGAGUUUUUGUCAGAGGCGGAGCUCAGAGUUCCUGCACUAUACAGCCAAUGGACUGUCUGAAAGCUGAAUGCUGCUCUGGUGGAGCAAAGCUUCUCUGCAGGAUGUUCCACUGAACACUUGGAGCUACAGCUGACUGGCAAAUGGUCAUUAACCACAAUGAAUCUGACUUCUGGGUCUGAUCCGGCCCACUUCUUUCCUGAUAAACC